CGGUGAGCAGAGGCACGUGAUUGGAGGCCUGGGCAGUCGGAGUAGAUUUGUUCGUGAGUGUAGGUGUUAGUGACUAAAUGGAGGCCAUUCCGCGCGUUUAUGGAAAUUAAGUGGACAUGAAAGGCCAUUUUUUUUUUUUUUUCUGUGCCGGGAGACGUGGCGGAACGGCGGCUGCUGGCGAGGACACUGGAAGCCGUGGAAUACUGGCCGCGAGCACAAUGGGGUGUUGCAGUUACGAGCGGCGGCCCCGACCCAGCCUGCAUCCCCCUCAGUUGAGAAUCGGCUCGGGAGAUGGCGCUGGCCUCGUCGUGUCGUGGAGCAGCGCCGAGGCACGACUAAAGGCGGACAACCGGAGCAUUGUUGCAAUUAUUUAUGACACCAGCAGGGGCGUCCAUUUAGCGGCUUUUUUCUGCCGUUUCUUUAGCGGGCGGGGAGCGGAGGGAGUGAUGGAUGGCAUGUUAAUACGCUUAUGAUGAUGCUACUGCGUCCUCGCCCCUUCUCGUCUCCUCUGUCCUCCCCACCACCUUCUUCUUCUCCCCAACGUCUUUGCUUGACAUCAGAAGUGUUGUCAACAUUUCCUUCUUGAAAACUUUCCUUGUCCGCUUCC